UACGUAGGGCGCGAGCGUUGUCCGGAAUCACUGGGCGUAAAGGGCGCGUAGGCGGCCUGAUAAGUAGGGGGUGAAAUCCUGCGGCUUAACCGCAGGGCUGCCUUCUAAACUGUCGGGCUCGAGCACAGUAGAGGCAGGUGGAAUUCCCGGUGUAGCGGUGGAAUGCGUAGAGAUCGGGAAGAACAUCAGUGGCGAAGGCGGCCUGCUGGGCUGUUGCUGACGCUGAGGCGCGACAGCGUGGGGAGCAAACAGG
rnacentral:rRNA from 1 species